ACGCUGGCGGUAGGCUUAACACAUGCAAGUCGUGCGAGAAAGUAUCUUCGGAUAUGAGUAGAGCGGCGGACGGGUGAGUAACGCGUAGGAAUCUACCUAGUAGAAGGGGAUAGCCCGGGGAAACUCGGAUUAAUACCGUAUACCUCCUUUGGGAGAAAGAGGGCCUCUCUUGAUGCUCUCGCUAUUAGAUGAGCCUGCGUAAGAUUAGCUAGUUGGUAAGGUAAUGGCUUACCAAGGCUACGAUCUUUAGCUGGUCUGAGAGGACGAUCAGCCACAUUGGGACUGAGACACGGCCCAGACUCCUACGGGAGGCAGCAGUGGGGAAUAUUGGACAAUGGGCGCAAGCCUGAUCCAGCCAUACCGCGUGUGUGAAGAAGGCCUUCGGGUUGUAAAGCACUUUAAGCAGGGAGAAAAAGCUAUAAGUUAAUACCUUAUAGCCGUGAUGUUACCUGCAGAAUAAGCACCGGCUAAUUCCGUGCCAGCAGCCGCGGUAAUACGGAAGGUGCAAGCGUUAAUCGGAAUUACUGGGCGUAAAGCGCGCGUAGGUGGUUUGUUAAGUUGGAUGUGAAAGCCCUGGGCUCAACCUAGGAACUGCAUCCAAAACUAACUCACUAGAGUACGAUAGAGGGAGGUAGAAUUCAUAGUGUAGCGGUGGAAUGCGUAGAUAUUAUGAAGAAUACCAGUGGCGAAGGCGGCCUCCUGGAUCUGUACUGACACUGAGGUGCGAAAGCGUGGGUAGCGAACAGGAUUAGAUACCCUGGUAGUCCACGCCGUAAACGAUGACAACUAGCUGUUGGGAGACAAUGUCUUUCAGUGGCGCAGCUAACGUUUUAAGUUGUCCGCC
rnacentral:rRNA from 1 species